UCUUAAUUAUUAGCUAAAGUAAUUCAUAAUUUCUGGGGUUUUUAACUCCAUUCGGCAUAUUUUAAUAUGAAUGAGGUUUAUUGAACAUGAAUUCCAAACAUAAGUGUUAAACUAGCGGUGAUAAGUUGGAAUGAAGUUGUAAAUGUAUACUUUCUGCUUUAUAAAACAGGCAAACCAGACAACACAAGGGUUAAAUUUGAGCCAGGAAGA